GGAGACCAGAGGCGGGCCUCUAGUGGAAUAUGAACGAAGAAUUGCUGAGGGUGACCUCUUGGAUGGAGAUGCAUGUCAGGUAGGCACAUUGCAAGAGCUCCAAAGACUUUAUGAUCAGCUCAUUGAAAAAGCUGAAGUCUGCCGGUUAGACAAAUAUGCCUCUUCUGAUAAAGCCAGCAGGAGUAGAUGGUUAUGGUCCCGUCUCUUACCACAGUCGUCAUAUGCUCCUGUCAAAGGAUUAUAUCUUUACGGGGGAGUUGGGACAGGCAAAACUAUGUUAAUGGACCUGUUUUUCGACCAGUUGCCUGGCAAUUGGAGGAAAAAGAGAAUCCAUUUUCACGACUUCAUGCUGAAUGUUCACAGCCGAUUACAGAAGCACAAGGGUGUGCCAGAUCCUCUAGAAGUUGUGGCAGGAGAGAUAUCGGACGAGGCCAUUUUGUUGUGUCUUGAUGAAUUUAUGGUGACUGAUGUGGCUGAUGCACUGAUACUGAAUCGCUUAUUUAAGCAGUUAUUUAUGAACGGCGCAAUUCUUGUUGCUACGUCAAACCGUGCUCCCGAUAACCUUUAUGAACGUGGACUACAGAGGGAUCUUUUCCUUCCUUUUAUAGCUACUUUAAAGGAAAGAUGUGUGGUACGUGAAAUUGGCUCAGCAGUGGACUACAGGAAGUUGACUUCGGCCGAACAAGGGUUCUACUUUAUCGGAAAAGAUAUAUCAAGCGUCAUUAAAAAGCAAUUCCAGAUGCUAGUAGGGGAUGCUCAACCAGUUCCGCAAGAGGUGGAAGUUGUCAUGGGAAGGAAAUUGCAGGUUCCACUGGGUGCUAA
rnacentral:misc_RNA from 1 species